GCGGGGUUAGCUCAGUUGGGAGAGCGUCAGACUGAAGUGAAACUUCAUUAUUACAUAUUGUAUAUCUGAAGGUCGUGUGUUCAAUCCACACACACCGCA
rnacentral:tRNA from 1 species